GGGGGGGGCAAGCGUUGUUCGGAAUUACUGGGCGUAAAGGGCUCGUAGGUGGCCAACUAAGUCGGACGUGAAAUCCCUCGGCUUAACCGGGGAACUGCGUCCGAUACUGGUUGGCUUGAGUUUGGGAGAGGGAUGCGGAAUUCCAGGUGUAGCGGUGAAAUGCGUAGAUAUCUGGAGGAACACCGGUGGCGAAGGCGGCAUCCUGGACCAAUACUGACGCUGAGGAGCGAAAGCCAGGGGAGCAAACGGGAUUAGAUACCCCGGUAGUCCUGGCCCUAAACGGAUCAAUGCUUGGUGUGGCGGGUAUCGAUCCCUGCCGUGCCGAAGCUAACGCAUUAAGCAUUCCGCCUGGGGAGUACGGUCGCAAGGCUG
rnacentral:rRNA from 1 species